GUCUUGUUUCAGCAACAGUAUGCUAAAAGUCACCACCUCACGCACAGACUGGUUAUUUUGAGCUUCAGAAGAGCAGUUGUUUCUCGUGGGCAUUUUGAUUAGUACCUUCCUGCAGCUUCCAGGAAGACUCUUCUUAACAACUUUAGCUAUAACGAAUAUAAUACGACCUUCAGUUUCGAGAACCUUUAUUCUAGUGGGCAGUUGUAUUAAUAAAUCUUUUGCCUCAAAA